rnacentral:lncRNA from 10 species
UCUUUUAUUUACCACAUUCAUACAUGCUCAUUUUUAAAAGUCAAUCCAGAAAUGUCCAUGCUAAAUAAACAAAAGACGCUGCCCUGCCCCUUCCUCAACCAAUUUCAUUCCCCUCCCUCACAAAAAAUUACUGCGGGCAGCUUGGCAUGCCCUGUGUAAACACACACCCACACGCACAGACACCAUGUAUGUGUCUGUGCCAUUGUCAUGUGUUUUGAGCUGUUUCCCAGCACUCUGUGUGGUGACCUAAUGAGGCUCUCCAUCCUCGUCGGCGCACAUGGAACCCCCUCGUUCUCACUGAACAGCCUCAGGCUCCUUCACACGCUGCGUCUUCUUUACAGCCUGCCAGUUAAACCCAAUGUUUUUACCUUGGAAAAUGUCACGGGCUGUUCUCCAGAAGCAGCAGUGAGCUGGUUCAUUGACGUUUGGUGACUUGUUCAGUUGUGCUCCUCACAUUCCAUUACUGCCACACCUACAGACACGUUGGUGUUUCACAAAAAGGCAAAUUCCAAAAGGCGACUGGGAGGAGCUUGCUAGCCGAGGCUCUUCUGCAGAGUGUUUUUUGGUCUUAAUGCUUCUGAAAUGCAUUUUAAAAUAAGCCAAACUGGUCAUGUGGCACCUGUGAUAUUAUCUAGAAAAGUGUGACUUGAGGGAAUUUCUCCAGAAUCAAAGAUGUCUGAACGUGUCUGCAUGAACAGAACCCAGGACGCUCCUUACUAAGCAGGCUCUGCAGAACAAACGCAAGCCAGGAGGAAAAGAGGAAAACAAAUAGACUGAAGUCCUUCCAGUUGGCAAGAAAGAAAGACGACAGUGUCAUGGGGAUUGCACAGGCCAGGAGGAGGUUGGGGACGUGUGGAUGGCACUUGGGAAGGAGUCACCUGUGAAAAGAAUGACGACCAUGCACAGCUCCCCUAAUUCAACACAGAUUAAUUGGGAUUAGGGAGUUGAGAACAUGCAGCAAAUAUCCUCGAAACUGUGAAUGGACAGCGCCCUGGAUCAUAAGGAGUAGAGACACCACUGACCACUCUCACUGCGCCAUGGUCACGUCUUUCAGGAAAGGGUGGUGUGACCACGAACUGCACGUCUGCUACAGGGCAGGGCUGUGGGCUUCAGGGCAUGACUGUAAACAAAUUUCAAAAAUUUUAGACACAUUUCGAAAAAUGUGAAGCCCUAAUGUCCAUCCACUUCUGGAUAUCAUUUCACAUCUAUCGUAUCUUUCCUACUUUUGAAGACUACUGCAGUUGAAAUCUUGUAAAUUCUACCAGAGGAGAACCCUGGGAUGGCCUUUCGUGAUAUGAAGAUUAAGCAGCCAUAUUUUACUCAUCCCAAUCGCAGAGCUGUUUUUAUUAUACAUUUAUGCAUCCUUUUGUAACAUACAUUUUGGGAGUUAUCCAAUGGCCAUCCAUUUUGUGAACCAGUUUGGCCCAGCUUGUGUCAAGUAGUUAGAAGCUGAGAAAGAAUGAAAGUGCACAAUUAGUCACAAAUUCUCCUCCAAUAUGUGAAUAAGAAAUUAAGCACCAUUUGCUGAUGGAUCAUCAAUAAGUAUUACAGAAAACGUAGGUGUUGAGAAGCCACAUGGCUCAUUUGACAUCACACAGCGGAGGGAAGACAGGACUGGAAACCACAACCUGAUGUCUGGAUGUUACUUUUGUGGCAGCUGUAAUUGUGAUUAUCGUUACUUCUUUGUCCCUGGUACUACAUAUUUCAUUUUAUAACACAUAAAAGUAAUUUUAUAGAAAUGUCUUGGAAGCGUUCCAAAUGCAGUCCAAACACAGGGGAGAGGGUGACUUAAGUUCAAGAUAAAAGCCACUAAGACCUUCCCCAUAGCCUUGCUACCAAGAGAGCUGGCCCUUCAUGGCCAAGUAUUCCCAUCCGGCUCGCUAAGCACAUGCCUCGUCCCUCCCUUCCCAGCCUCUCAUCCACACAUCUGGAAAGCCUGUUCUCCCAAGUGAACUUGGUCUGGCUCAGGAAUCUUGACAUUCCACUCAAAUGAAAGAGCGUAUUGUUGAAAACUAGCUGCAGAGAGACACAUAGACAGACAGGGAUACAAACAGUGUCAUCGCGUGAUAUUUCACAUCUAAGAAUGGAGCUCAGCAGCAACACACCAGACUGGCGGGGGUGGGGGUUUGGGGGGUGGGACGUGGUGAGAAAUGCAGUCCUUUCAAAUUACUCCUUGACAUUCUAGAAGGUCUAUCCCAACACACAACUGAUGUUUUGAUUGAUGAGCACCCUGGGGCCUUUGCCCCCUUGGAGGCCUUGAGCUCAGCCUCCAGAGAGGAUAUGAAGAUGCCACUUUAGGUGCACCCCUGGCUCCUGAAGCUCACAGUCCUGGCCGAGACGCCCAGUUUCCUUCUUCUUUUCUCAAUUUUUUAUUUCAUAAUAGGAUUCCUGGCCAGGUACAGAGUCUCACGCCUGUAAUCCCAGCACCUUGUGAGGUCAAGGCAGGAGGAUUGCUUGAGCUCAGGAGUUCAAGACCAUCCUGGGCAAUAUAGUGAGACCCUGUCUCUACAAAAACAAAAUUAAAAGAAAAAAUUAGCCAAGUGUGGUGGUACAUGCCUGUGGUUCCAGCUACUUGAGAGGCUAAGGUGGGAGGAUCUCUUGAGCCCAGGAGUUCAAGGCUGUGGUGAGCCCUGAUCACACUGCACUCCAGCCUGCACAACAGAGCAAGGCCUUGCCUCCAAAAAUAUAUAUAAUAAUAAAAUAACAAAAAAAAUGCCAGAGAAUGGCACGCACAGAUUGCCUUCAGCAUUGAGUGUUCACGUCCCGGAAUUCACUGAAACAUGGGAACCUAGGAGUGACCUGAGGAGCCCAGCCUUUCCAAAAUGGAAAUGCAGCUGGCGACAUGAAGAACAGAAACACCAACUGCAUGGGGCCUGGAAAGGCAUCUCCCCUUUACUCCACCAUCAUCACAGCUUUCCCGAGGAGAGAGGGAAUGGUUGAGGCCAUUUGACUAUUGUUUUUCACCAGGACCACCUCCCACCCGAUGGAGGCCACAGGCUCAGCUGACGUCCUAACUAUUGACGGUCAUCUUUGACACACACAUCAUAUGUGGUGGGUCAGCUGUGGAAGUAGGGGUGGAAGUAGGGAUUUCUUGUAAGACAUGCCCUGGCAGCUCCCAAAGAAACAAAGGGCAAAUGCUGCUUUCUCCGGAGUUGUGGAGAAGCAUCUUCAAGCCUGUAGCCCUCUCCUGAAGCCAGAUGAAGGACAGGUGUUCCAACCGCAUGUUUUUAUGACGCUGAGUUUGGAUCUGUUUUUCUCCAGACUCACACUGAAACCCUUCCUCCAAGGGCUCUCAGCCCAACAAGAUACUGGAAAAGAGGUUUGAACCCAGCUCCUCUAGUUCCCUAUUGGCCUAACUGUUUAGUCAGAGCUGCCAGCACCAUCGUUUCUGGAAGGAGCUCCUGGUGGUGAGGCUGUGCUAGAACCUGGAGAGAAGGGGCCCUUUGCCUCACCAGCAACACAGCUUGAAUCCCAGCAGAUGAAGGAGAUCCAUGCAGUCAUCACCGGGUGUUCUCUGCAGCCUCGGUGACCCUCAGGGGAGCUUCCCGGAAAGGCAGGCGCUGCCCUGGAGCCUCUUUAGCAGGAGCUGAGCACGUCAAGUCUCAAGUGUGAGCUUUAAGUUUGGCCUGAGCUAUUCAGCUGUAGCCACUUAAACAGAGAAAAACCUGACAACUCGUCACUAAGGCAAUAAGUCAAAAAGCAACUUUUGUAAAAACCUAGUGACAUAAAUGCUCUACAGGGCAAAUCAGAUACUGCGGCAAAUACAGAAGUAAGGCCCACAGCUACUGCCCAGAGCAAGCUCUCCUACACCUGCUAAGCCCCCUCACCCAACCCUCUGAGGCGGGGCCAAAACCUGUGGCCAGACCCAGGAAUUCUGGUCGUUCCUUGAUGGAGGCCAGAGACCUGGCCAAGGUCGUUAGAGUAGACUCCGUGGAAGCACAGAGUAGAAUCUAAAAGCAACUUAGAUUUGGAUCUUCGGGAACAAGUAAGUGCACCUCAGAUCUGGACAUAAGCCCUUUCUGGUAGCACUGUUUUCUAGAAAGAAGACUGUACUAAAGUUCUGGAUAACUCUCUCCCUGCCCCCAGUGACGUCUCAGAGCAGCCUCAUGGACUGACUUGACCAGGCUCCCAGGCCCCCUGCCUCCAGCCCAGCUGUCCUUCCCUCUGUCCCCAGGGCUCAGUGUCUCUCUUUCUCUCUCUCCUUCUUUCUCUCUCUCCAACUGUUGUUUCCUGCUCUUCUACUUUCUCCAUCUUCCUCCCUCUCAUCUUUCCUUCUCUCUUAUCUCUCUCUUCCUUUCACUCUCUAUCUUUUUGGCUCUCUCCUGCCUAUCCUCCCUUCCCUCUCCUCCUCUCUAUCUCUUCAUCUCUCUCUCCUCUCCCGUCUCUGUCCGUGUGUGUGUGUCUCUCUCUCCCCAACUCACGUUUCU